GACCUCCAGAGUGCGUUGCCGGAGCGACCGGACGCGUGCGUGCGGGGCGGGACUUCCACAGGCCCCGCCCAGCGCCCCUCCGCCCGUCUUCCCGCGGACCAGAGCGCAGUCACCUACUUCCUCAACAAUCGUUCAUAACGCGCUGAUAAUAGCAGGGACCCUGCUGAAUGUGUCACCUGCGUCCUGCUGAUGCAUAUGCUCACCUCUGGAGCACAGGUGAGGUCUUAAGUGACCACAAAAGAAGGACCAGACAGAGUAACAAAGAGGAUUGUUGAGACAGGAUGCUCUCUGGGCUCCAGCCCCAACGGCAGCUCAUGUGGAAGAAGAGGAGAGAUCCAUCUCCACUCCUCCUGAAAACCCUGAAAGAUACUCCAUUGUCUGGAAGGACCACCAUUUAUGCACCCGCCUACUGAAGGAUGCCUUGGUUGCUCCCAAGCUUUGGCAAUUAUGAAAAAAGCUGCUAUAAAUAUCCAUGUACAGGUUUGGGUGUGGAUAUAAACUUUCAGCUCCCUUGGGUAAAUAUCAAGGAGUGUGAUUGCUGGAUCACACGGUAAGAACAGGCUUAGUUUUGUAAGAAAUAGUCAAACUGUCUUCCAAAGUGGCUUUCCCAUUCCGUAUUCCUGCUAGCAAUGAAUGAGUUUCCUGUCGCCCCACAUCAUCUGCAGCAUUUGGUGCUGUCAGUGUUCCAGAAUUUGGCCUCUCUGAAAUGUGGGUAAUGGUAUCUCAUUGUUGUUUUAAUUUUCCUUUCCCUGAUGGUAUAUUACGUGGAACAACUUUUAUGUUUGUUUACCAUCUAAAUAUCUUCUUUGGUGAGAUAUCUGUGAAGAUCUUUGACCCAUUUUCCUUUUUUUUUUUUAAUUUU